rnacentral:rRNA from 1 species
CAGUCGCCGCGGGAAUACGUAGGGUGCAAGCGUUAAUCGGAAUUACUGGGCGUAAAGCGUGCGCAGGCGGUUAUAUAAGUCAGAUGUGAAAUCCCCGGGCUCAACCUGGGAACUGCAUUUGAGACUGUAUGGCUAGAGUGUGUCAGAGGAGGGUAGAAUUCCACGUGUAGCAGUGAAAUGCGUAGAUAUGUGGAGGAAUACCGAUGGCGAAGGCAGCCCCCUGGGAUAACACUGACGCUCAUGCACGAAAGCGUGGGGAGCAAACAGGAUUAGAUACCCGUGUAGUCCCUGUCUCUUAUAC